rnacentral:rRNA from 1 species
GAUCCUGGCUCAGGAUGAACGCUAGCUACAGGCUUAACACAUGCAAGUCGAGGGGCAGCGGGAUUGAAGCUUGCUUCAAUUGCCGGCGACCGGCGCACGGGUGAGUAACGCGUAUCAAACCUUCCGUACACUCAGGGAUAGCCUUUCGAAAGAAAGAUUAAUACAUGAUGGUAUGAUGAGAUUGCAUGGUAUCAUCAUUAAAGAUUUAUCGGUGUACGAUGGGGAUGCG